rnacentral:rRNA from 1 species
CAGCAGCCGCGGUAAUACGUAGGGUGCAAGCGUUAAUCGGAAUUACUGGGCGUAAAGCGUGCGCAGGCGGUUCGUUAAGACAGAUGUGAAAUCCCCGGGCUUAACCUGGGAACUGCAUUUGUGACUGGCGGGCUAGAGUAUGGCAGAGGGGGGUAGAAUUCCACGUGUAGCAGUGAAAUGCGUAGAGAUGUGGAGGAAUACCGAUGGCGAAGGCAGCCCCCUGGGCCAAUACUGACGCACAUGCACGAAAGCGUGGGGAGCAAACAGGAUUAGAUACCCCUGUAGUCCCUGUCUCUUAUAU